AUUGUAGCACGUAUGGCCCGAGAUGUAUUGGCUGCUCCUGCAUCAAUGGUACCUUCUGAAUCUGCAUUCAGUACAGGAGGCCGAAUCAUCUCUGACCAUAGAACUAGGCUGUCAGGCAACACUGUGGAAGGUUUGAUUUGCUUCCAGGAUUGGCUUAGAGAAUUAGGUUCAUCUUAUUUGGACAUCAUAAAGAUUAACAGCUCUGGUAGCAGCAUUGAAGAUCUUGGAGUUGCAUGAUGACUUGAAAGACAAGGUAAGGGUUCCUAUUGGGAAAUUCUUAUUGGAGCUUCCAGCUGGGAUGCUAGAUGAUGAAAAAGCUAUUGGAGGCGAGCACAUAUUAGCUGCAUCUGCUGAAUAUCUUUCAGUUUUGUUUGAUGGAGAUGGAAUUAUUGGUGGGAUUCUUGCUGGCUUCAUAUCUGAUCAGCUCAAUGCUAGGGAAAAAAUAGUGUCAAGUGAUUGGGAUAGCAUCUGUUGUGGUAUUUGUCAAGUGACAGUCCAUCCACAGUAGAAUUUUGGAUUCAUCAAGCAUUGUGACGAUGAAUUAAGGUUGUGUAGACGAUGUCAAUGAUGUUUGUUUUUAGUAUAGAUGGUAACUCAA